UGCGGCGUGCCUAGGAAAUGCAAGUCGAGCGGGGUAGCAAUACCUAGCGGCGAACGGUCGCGUAACACGUAAGCAACCUGCCCGAAAGACCGGGACAACAGUUCGAAAGGGCUGCUAAUACCGGAUGUGCCCGCACCCUCUCAUGUGGGUGUGAGUAAAUCAUUUAUGGCUUUCGGAGGGGCUUGCGGCCUAUCAGCUAGAUGGCGAGGUAACGGCUCACCAUGGCGACGACGGGUAGCUGGUCUGAGAGGAUGGUCAGCCGGACUGGGACUGAGAUACGGCCCAGACUCCUACGGGGGGCAGCAAUUAGGAAUCUUGCGCAAUGGGCGAAAGUCUGACGCAGCGACGCCGCGUGGAGGAGGAAGUCUUUCGGGAUGUAAACUCCUUUCAGGUGGGAAGAAACAAAUGACGGUACCACCUGAAUAAGCCCCGGCUAACUACGUGCCAGCAGCCGCGGUAAUACGUA
rnacentral:rRNA from 1 species